AUUACCGCGGCUGCUGGCACGGAGUUAGCCGGGGUUUCUUUACCAGAUACUGUCAUUAUCAUCUCUGGCGAAAGAGCUUUACGACCCUAAGGCCUUCGUCACUCACGCGGCAUGGCUAGAUCAGGCUUGCGCCCAUUGUCUAAGAUUCCCCACUGCUGCCUCCCGUAGG
rnacentral:rRNA from 1 species